CCUACGGGUGGCAGCAGUCGAGAAUUUUUCUCAAUGGGGGAAACCCUGAAGGAGCGACGCCGCGUGGAGGAUGAAUGCUUUCGGGUUGUAAACUCCUGUCAUUUGGGAACAAGGCCUUACGUUAACUGCGUGGAGGAUUGAUAGUACCAGAAGAGGAAGAGACGGCUAACUCUGUGCCAGCAGCCGCGGUAAUACAGAGGUCUCGAGCGUUGUUCGGAUUCAUUGGGCGUAAAGGGCGCGUAGGCGGCGGGGUAAGUCUGGUGUGAAAUCUAGGAGCUCAACUCCUAAACUGCACUGGAUACUGCUCUGCUAGAGGACUGGAGAGGAGACUGGAAUUCACGGUGUAGCAGUGAAAUGCGUAGAUAUCGUGAGGAAGACCAGUGGCGAAGGCGGGUCUCUGGACAGUUCCUGACGCUGAGGCGCGAAGGCCAGGGGAGCAA
rnacentral:rRNA from 1 species